CUUUCUGUGGGCUCAUGGCCAGUGACAUCAGGAGGUUCUGACUCAUUUUUCCUUGGUCACAGUCACAAUUGGCCACUUGACUACCUUGCUCCAAGCUUCUGCUGCUCCCUCAUGGCCAGGUGCAGUUCUGCUCACCUCUUGACCACAUGGGCCGGAAGCUGUUUGUUAGGCUUAGCAGUAGCAACUUUGAAGAACAGGACUAAGAAAGCCCCAAGACACAUUCUGUGUUGUUGAACAGCUUCUGAGCACAGUCCCUGAAGUUACAACAAAUGUAUUGACAGACAUGCAGAUGAAGGGAGACCCUGGCAGGGUACAACUAGUGGCCUAUCACCUUCUGGAGAAACCAAGGGCUUGGUUACAGUACACUGGUCCAGUGUGAUAUCACAAGUAUAAAAAAUAUUCCAUUCUGUAUCAAAACUAGGCACAUGCCUUUAUUUAUAGUAACAGAAGUUAACAGAGUCGAGCAGUUUUUGCCUUGGGUCCUAUUUCUUGGCAUCCUACAUCAGACAAAUGCAUCUUUCAACACAUCUCCGCCCACAACUCCGGGGAUCUGGUCUCAGGGUUAUCUGGAUGUAAAGGAAGGUGAAGUCACACUUGGAUCUAUAGUGGUGAGUAACUAAAAGCACAACCUCUCAUUCAUAUUGCUUUAAAACAUAUACAGCAUAUAUGCUUCAAAAAAAAUGGAAGAAUAAAGAAUAUAUUGAUUUCUUUGUGGUGUCGAACCAACAGUAUGGUAUGAUGCAAGGAUUUAAUAAAGGAUAAUCAUAGAUACAAAUUUUUCGGUAGAGUAUAUUUUAGACAAAUGUGUCUUUUUUUAAUAUGUAAAUCCUACAUUGUAGGUUGUUCCUUUUAAUUUUUUUCUUUUGUUUCUGCAGUGGUAGAAAAUGUUGAAUAACCGUCCAUGAGCAUGAGCCAAGGUUCAGGUUCCUUACUGAGAUCCCCAGAAUGCCAAUAUUUGCAAUGCAAACAAUUAGUAUCCCACUGUGUGAAGGGCUUGGACACCAGCCUGCCUGCCUCUAGGUGGAGCGUCCCCAUAAUCAGUCCUCCUGCUCCCACAGACCCUGC